GUAGGACUGCUGUUGAUUUGGCGAUCUCACCGGCCAAGAAGGUCCGGACUUCUGCCAGCUUACACAGGACGGUGUCAUGGUCGGCUGACGAGGACUCCCUGUUACCACGAGGCGAUGCCUGUGAGGAGCCCCCGUCGCCAUCUUGGCUUUCAGGCCGGCCUUGCUUAGGAGCGGUCAGGAGGUCCAGGACGGAGCCACCCGGUUCAGAGGACUUUUUAGGGUGUUUUUUUGACACCCUCUUCUCCAUGGUAUGGGGUAAGGUGGGAAAGUGGACAAAAAAAA